rnacentral:rRNA from 1 species
GAUGAACGCUGGCGGCGUGCCUAAUACAUGCAAGUCGAGCGAACGGACGAGAAGCUUGCUUCUCUGAUGUUAGCGGCGGACGGGUGAGUAACACGUGGAUAACCUACCUAUAAGACUGGGAUAACUUCGGGAAACCGGAGCUAAUACCGGAUAAUAUUUUGAACCGCAUGGUUCAAAAGUGAAAGACGGUCUUGCUGUCACUUAUAGAUGGAUCCGCGCUGCAUUAGCUAGUUGGUAAGGUAACGGCUUACCAAGGCAACGAUGCAUAGCCGACCUGAGAGGGUGAUCGGCCACACUGGAACUGAGACACGGUCCAGACUCCUACGGGAGGCAGCAGUAGGGAAUCUUCCGCAAUGGGCGAAAGCCUGACGGAGCAACGCCGCGUGAGUGAUGAAGGUCUUCGGAUCGUAAAACUCUGUUAUUAGGGAAGAACAUAUGUGUAAGUAACUGUGCACAUCUUGACGGUACCUAAUCAGAAAGCCACGGCUAACUACGUGCCAGCAGCCGCGGUAAUACGUAGGUGGCAAGCGUUAUCCGGAAUUAUUGGGCGUAAAGCGCGCGUAGGCGGUUUUUUAAGUCUGAUGUGAAAGCCCACGGCUCAACCGUGGAGGGUCAUUGGAAACUGGAAAACUUGAGUGCAGAAGAGGAAAGUGGAAUUCCAUGUGUAGCGGUGAAAUGCGCAGAGAUAUGGAGGAACACCAGUGGCGAAGGCGACUUUCUGGUCUGUAACUGACGCUGAUGUGCGAAAGCGUGGGGAUCAAACAGGAUUAGAUACCCUGGUAGUCCACGCCGUAAACGAUGAGUGCUAAGUGUUAGGGGGUUUCCGCCCCUUAGUGCUGCAGCUAACGCAUUAAGCACUCCGCCUGGGGAGUACGACCGCAAGGUUGAAACUCAAAGGAAUUGACGGGGACCCGCACAAGCGGUGGAGCAUGUGGUUUAAUUCGAAGCAACGCGAAGAACCUUACCAAAUCUUGACAUCCUUUGACAACUCUAGAGAUAGAGCCUUCCCCUUCGGGGGACAAAGUGACAGGUGGUGCAUGGUUGUCGUCAGCUCGUGUCGUGAGAUGUUGGGUUAAGUCCCGCAACGAGCGCAACCCUUAAGCUUAGUUGCCAUCAUUAAGUUGGGCACUCUAAGUUGACUGCCGGUGACAAACCGGAGGAAGGUGGGGAUGACGUCAAAUCAUCAUGCCCCUUAUGAUUUGGGCUACACACGUGCUACAAUGGACGAUACAAAGGGCAGCGAAACCGCGAGGUCAAGCAAAUCCCAUAAAGUUGUUCUCAGUUCGGAUUGUAGUCUGCAACUCGACUACAUGAAGCUGGAAUCGCUAGUAAUCGUAGAUCAGCAUGCUACGGUGAAUACGUUCCCGGGUCU